AGAGUUUGAUCCUGGCUCAAGACGAACGCUGGCGGCGCGCCUAACACAUGCAAGUCAAACGGAGCUUAUAGAGCUUGCUUUUUAAGCUUAGUGGCGAACGGGUGAGUAACGCGUGAGUAACCUGCCCUAGAGUGGGGGACAACAGUUGGAAACGACCGCUAAUACCGCAUAAGCCCACGGUACCGCAUGGUACUGAGGGAAAAGGAUUUAUUCGCUUUAGGAUGGACUCGCGUCCAAUUAGCUAGUUGGUGAGGUAACGGCCCACCAAGGCGACGAUUGGUAGCCGGACUGAGAGGUUGAACGGCCACAUUGGGACUGAGACACGGCCCAGACUCCUACGGGAGGCAGCAGUGGGGGAUAUUGCACAAUGGGGGAAACCCUGAUGCAGCGACGCCGCGUGGAGGAAGAAGGUUUUCGGAUUGUAAACUCCUGUCGUUAGGGACGAUAAUGACGGUACCUAACAAGAAAGCACCGGCUAACUACGUGCCAGCAGCCGCGGUAAAACGUAGGGUGCAAGCGUUGUCCGGAAUUACUGGGUGUAAAGGGAGCGCAGGCGGGAAGACAAGUUGGAAGUGAAAACCAUGGGCUCAACCCAUGAAUUGCUUUCAAAACUGUUUUUCUUGAGUAGUGCAGAGGUAGAUGGAAUUCCCGGUGUAGCGGUGGAAUGCGUAGAUAUCGGGAGGAACACCAGUGGCGAAGGCGGUCUACUGGGCACCAACUGACGCUGAGGCUCGAAAGCAUGGGUAGCAAACAGGAUUAGAUACCCUGGUAGUCCAUGCCGUAAACCC
rnacentral:rRNA from 1 species